rnacentral:rRNA from 1 species
UACGUAGGGACCAAGCGUUGUUCGGAUUUACUGGGCGUAAAGGGCGCGUAGGCGGCUUGACAAGUCACUUGUGAAAUCUCCGGGCUUAACUCGGAACGGCCAAGUGAAACUGUCAUGCUAGAGUGCAGAAGGGGCAAUCGGAAUUCUUGGUGUAGCGGUGAAAUGCGUAGAUAUCAAGAGGAACACCGGUGGCGAAGGCGGCAUCCUGGACCGGCAUUGACGCUGAGGCGCGAAAGCUAGGGGAGCAAACGGG